rnacentral:pre_miRNA from 1 species
AGCGCCGCGCUGGUUCCCAGUCCGCGGACUGGACCGGAACCAGCGCGGCGCCUCU